AUGAGGCAAAAACGAAAGGAAAAUCAAGCUACGACAAGUGACAGGUACAAUUCUAGUUCGUUCUCUUUAUAUAGACAGCAGUCAGGUGGCCGCACGUCACGGUCAGCGAGGACAAUAGAGAGGACAAUAGAGAGGACAAUAGAGAGGACAACAGAGAGGACAAUAGAGAGGACAACAGAGAGGACAAUAGAGAGGACAACACUCCACAAGGUGCAGGGGCCGUGAGCAAGCCGCACAGCAGCCAGUGGGUGGUGGAUGUCUACACGCUGGGAUGAAAGACAUGCACACCAAUGUGGUCGGUAAAAACAUGAUGCUUUAUUAAAAAGAACACCCAGUUCAAUAAAAUGUUAUACUCUUAAAAAUGUAUGGUUAAAAACAAUAAUUCAUAAAGAGUGCCCUGCUCAUUAUUUCAUUGAAAGCAAAUGGGAUACAGCAAUUUGUUUUUUAAGCCUGGCGAAAUUGUGAGAUCGAUUGGGUUUGUCCGGCACAGAGAUUCCUGUAGAGGGAGCACCAAGUGCGCUUUUGUUCAUUAUAUUUUAUUACUUGAAGACUGCAGCACAGUGUCCAUGUCAUUUAUUGUACAUUAAUAUCCAUCAGGGUGAUGUAACAUACAAAAACAUACACACAAAAAAUGUGCACACUCUGCUCACACCUUCAGGAUAGGUCCACAGUGUCACUGGACCCCCCUGUCUCAGCCCCAAGAUUUUUUCCUCCAUUGUAAAUCCUUACAUUUUCUCAGAGUUUUCUCAUAGCUGUCCUUGUCCAAAGUCCUGGUUGUGUUGCAGAUCAAGACAAUACCUGACAAUUCUAGCUGCCACUCCGCUGACAAUCCUCCCCACCCGGGUUGUCCCUGUACUUGUCCAUCUGGUCAUGGUUCUCACCUGGAUUAUUAUAGACUCUGGACACAACCCACAUGCAUUUAUACAUUUCUACAAUUAGAACUCUUAAAGUGUUCACCUGGCACAGCCAGAAGAGGACUGGUCACACCUCAGUCUAGUUCCUCUCUAGGUUUCU
rnacentral:lncRNA from 1 species